rnacentral:lncRNA from 1 species
AAAAAAUGUUUAUGCAACAAGGUUGCAUAUGUUGCAAUGACAAGUUACAGGACUACCUUUCUCUUUUGCUUCGAUUUAUCAGAAGAUCCUGACCCAGGAUUACCUUCCUGAGUGUUAUCCAACUCCCUUCUUAUAGCAAUAACUUUUUGAAGGGCUUCAUUAUUUCGCCUUAUCCUUUCUUGCCUCUCUUCCUCGUACUUAUUGCCUUCUCCGCCUGCCAUUUUUUU